AGUCCCUCUCCACCUUGCUCGCAGCUGCCCUCGGGUUCUGGAAGGACACGCCUCCCUCACCCCCCGACAGCCGCCUGAGGUAUAUUUGUUAAAUAAUCCCCCCGAAACUAUCACACACUCACAAAACCAGCCUCCCAGCAACGGAAGGGAAGAGCGUCUUUAUUUCCAUGACAAGCGUUUUUACAAAGUUCCAAGCGAAAUCCAAACGUGUUUCCUGUCCUGGCCGUUACCAGUGGAAAGCCCAGGAAAUCCCAGCCCUCAGCCCGCUCCCCUCGGGGUGCCCUCACCCAUCCUGCCCUGGCAGGCGAUUUUUUACUGCUCCCAGUGUGCAAGUGAAAAAAAUCAUUCCAGGGUAUAGGCAGAAGGCAGCUCCAGAGAGAUACAAGUAUUUUGGCCUCUUCAAGCAGUGUCUGAUAUAAAAUGUCUUCAUACACAUUCUCUACUUGGAUCACACUCGUGUAAUCAGCAAAAAUGUACUGCUCAUAUUUCUGCAGCUCCUGUGCAGGUGGAAAAGAAAAGAACAGAUAUAGAAAACCCAGGGAUUCUCAGAGUCCUACAGCAACCGAACACCUUGGAGAUCCAUCCAGCAGGUCUUGCAAUGCUCCAUGUGAGCUAUGACUAAAAAACUACCUAUGUCCUCAAUCUAUUAUGUGCUAAUCAAACAGUAUUCCUGCAGUAUAACCACAUUAAAAGCACUACAGAUCACUGCCACCUGAAAUAAACAGCUGGGGAGGAAAUGCCUCACUAACUUGUUUGUCCAAGGAGGCAAAUCCAUGGUGCAUGGGAGAUACAGGGUUUGGGGUUGUUUUUCUAAUAGGUGUGUAACACUUUUACUCAGUGAUUUAUAUACAAAGGCUGUCUAGACAAUAAGUGAAUCAUUGUUAUUAAGCAGCUGCUUGGUGGUCUAUAAAAAGUAAAUUAGGUGACCUUCCAGAAGAGGCACCUAAAUAAAAACUCCCGGAGAUUUUCAAGGGAAAGGUCAGAACUUGGCUGUGCCUGUCAACUGUGCUGCACUUUUGCUUCCAGAGCUGGCUGCUCAUUUCUGCAGAGGCACAAACACAAAAGGCUUGUGGGAAAUCAAACAGACAGGGCUUGUGGGAAGUUUGCACCACCACAGCUCCCUCUGUCCUGUAGGACAGAGACAUGAGCUGUCUCCACAGAUAUUGCAGGUGAUGAAAUGCUUGUUCCUGUGUGUAGACACCCUGUCACAAAGGCACUGCUGACACUCUACAAGAAACUAUUACUUUGGGGAUACUACGGAAAGUAGAGAGACAUAAAGAAAAGAUUGGUUUAAAAUAUAUUCUUGGAAGUUUCAAGUUUUAGUAUUCCAUAGUUUAAAGACCCGUAAGCAUAACUUGGCACAACAUUUGUUUUUAAACUUGGCUUGGAAACUGAAACAAGCUGGAGAGCAGAAACAAGAGCAGCACACCAUUGGUGAGAGCUCCCAGCAUCCAGGAAUGGAUGGACAUCAAUGGAAACAGAAGGGCAGGGAGGCUGGGAUGGCUUAGGCAGGUACAGUGACAAUGCAGGAGGUCACCCACAGGCUUCCAGAGGGUUCAGACUGUUUAUUCUGAGCCAAGGUGAACAGCAUUCCAACAGGCCCCUGAUGCUGCCACGCUGAUAACAUCUACCAUCUCAACAAAACUCUGACAGCCACAUCUGCUGACUGCUAACAUGGCCUGUAUGAUUCAGGGCAACAGAGAUCAUCUCUGUGGGAUAAUUUCUUGUUUGUUGACUCAAUGCUUCCAUUUAAAAGCACUGACAGCAAGGGCAUGGCCUGGCUCCUGCCGCUCCUGCUGCCCCAGGAGGCCUUGGGUGCUGAAGGAGGUCGCUGGCAGAGGCUGUGCAUGUUCCCAGCUGUGCCUUGGGGUGCUGCUGAAGAGGAAUGAACACAAGGACCAGCUCAUCACCUACAUCCCAACUGCCCAGAGGAGUCCCAUCUGGGGGACUUCAGAUCUCUAGAGAAGAAAGGAACCAGGGAUGGGCAAAGGACUGCCACUACCUUUGAGCAAGCAAGCUGUACCUACUGUUUCCCUGUUUCCUGAAAUCUUCCUUAUGCCCCACACCCACCCAAACCAUGAACUGGAAAAUCUAAGCCUGUUUGGCCAAGCAGGCAGCUGACCUGCACAGCCCUCUGGGAGAGAACAGCUACAGUGUUAAGGACUUGCUGACAAGGCAUUAUUCCUUCCCCGCCUUUUAUUAUCGGGGUUGGGUAUUUUUAAUCCCAGAAACCUACUGGUUUGCAUGUUGAAGCCAGGCUCUUCUGCAUUGUGGGCAGGGUAAUCUGUACCAGUGCUUCUUGGAAUAUCUUCUUCCUGAUGGUGCUGCUGUCAUAGUCAUAUUGCUGUCAGAACACAGAACAGAAACAAGCCCGGACGUGCUCGGGGUUACUAAUCACUCACGCGAGGAACUGGUUCUUGUUAUCCUGUCACUGGUGCAUCAGAGGUGCACUCAGGGCUUUGAACUGCCAUGCAGGUUAUUCCAGCUUUUGCAAAACCACUCUAAAAUCUAGAUUUCUGGCAUCUCUUUCCAUUCUUGUUUUUUUAUACUUAGGCUAGAAACAGCCCCUGAUUGCCCUCCCCAGGUAUUUCAGCACUGCCUCUUCCGAGAGGAACAAAUUCUAGGGGCAGGCUAAUUAUACAGUUAAUUAAAACUUUUAUAUCCAGAUUCACGGCAUCAUCAUAAUCUGAUUUAAUUGCAAUUAAAGGGACUGCACAUGCAAGUACUUUUAAAAUGGUCUGCCCAGAACCAGGUUUUACCCCUCAAAGGAGCAGUUUGCUACGUGCCACUGAAUUAGUAUUUCCAGCUGGUUGGUAGGAGAUAUCUCCUUUCAAAUACAGAGAUAAAUUCAUAUAAAAUAUAUUCCCUUUUCCUAAAAAGGCAGAACCCAAGGACUUCCUGUCCAGAAGUGCUACACAAAGUUUACCUUCAGCACCCUCAGCUUGACUUUUUCAAUGGUUGUUGCCACUUUGGCCGAGUCUGCCUGGUGACUUGGAGAGAAGAGCUGCUCAAAAGUAUAAACUGCAUUUUCCAUCAGCUGAAAAGAACCAUUUAAAAGAUCUGUUAAUAAGACCGGUAACAUAAAAUUCAUGCAAACAUGAUAAAUGUAACUGUUAAUUUGUGUUUUGGAAAAGGUGAAACAGAGAAAGAAUAAAGGGCCUAAGAUGGAUAAAUAUUUCAGGUACUUUAGAUGACUGUGGAAGGGGUAGAAGAGCCUCGUUUAGAUUGCAACACUCAGUUUUGGAAUGGGAAACCAAAAAGAAGAUUAUCUAAUGCAAGAGAAUACAAAAAUGUAACUCUCUCAAUGUCUAUCUGGAGUUUACAGCAGGUCAAUACUACAAGUCUGCUCAUGUAACUGAACAGUUCUAUCAGCAAACAUACUCAGAGUGGAUUAAUUUAUAUUGUCCAAAAAUUUUCUGCUGCAUUUCAGUUCUCUGAAGGGCAACAUGCACUGAAAAUGCUGCAAUAAAUAAAGAAAAUUAAGCCUUGGUA